rfam:Capsicum annuum cultivar Zunla-1 chromosome 3, whole genome shotgun sequence
UGAUGAUGGUGAAGGCAAUUUUUGAUCAUUCCCUUAAAUCUCUCCCAAUCUCGGUAGAGAUUCUCUCCUUGUUUCAGUCAAAACCUCAAGAUCUCUCUUCUCAAACG